rnacentral:tRNA from 1 species
UCCGAUAUGGUGUAGUGGCUAACAUUAUCGCCUCUCAUAAGUGCACAAAGUGUUGCUCAAAGCGCGAUAGCCCGGGGUUCGAUUCCCCGUGUCGGAA